UUUCCGUAGGUGAACCUGCGGAAGGAUCAUUAUCGAAGCUAAGCGGCUCUA
rnacentral:rRNA from 1 species